rfam:Gasterosteus aculeatus cont1.007001, whole genome shotgun sequence.
UUUAAAGUGUAAUGUAAGUCGCUUUGGAUAAAAGCGUCUGCAAAAUGACACGUA